rnacentral:rRNA from 1 species
AUCCACAGCCAUAGGACUCAGAAAACACCGCAUCCCGUCCGAUCUGCGCAGUUAACCUGAGUGCUGCCCAGUUACUAUACCAUGAUCCCUCUUUGCUAACAAUC